rnacentral:rRNA from 1 species
ACCCCUGUGAACAUACCACUUGUUGCCUCGGCGGAUCAGCCCGCUCCCGGUAAAACGGGACGGCCCGCCAGAGGACCCCUAAACUCUGUUUCUAUAUGUAACUUCUGAGUAAAACCAUAAAUAAAUCAAAACUUUCAACAACGGAUCUCUUGGUUCUGGCAUCGAUGAAGAACGCAGCAAAAUGCGAUAAGUAAUGUGAAUUGCAGAAUUCAGUGAAUCAUCGAAUCUUUGAACGCACAUUGCGCCCGCCAGUAUUCUGGCGGGCAUGCCUGUUCGAGCGUCAUUUCAACCCUCAAGCACAGCUUGGUGUUGGGACUCGCGUUAAUUCGCGUUCCUCAAAUUGAUUGGCGGUCACGUCGAGCUUCCAUAGCGUAGUAGUAAAACCCUCGUUACUGGUAAUCGUCGCGGCCACGCCGUUAAACCCCAACUUCUGAAUGUUGACCUCGGAUCAG